AGGGCACGCGGUGGAUGCCUCGGCACCAGGGGCCGAAGAAGGGCGUGGCAAGCUGCGAAAAGCCCCGGGGAGCCGCAAGCAGGCUGUGAUCCGGGGAUGCCCGAAUGGGGAAACCUGACGGGGAAAACCCCCGUCACCAGCAGGUGAAUCCAUAGCCUGCUGGGGGGCAGCCCGCGAACUGAAACAUCUUAGUAGCGGGACGAAAAGAAAGCAACCGCGAUGCCCCGAGUAGUGGCGAGCGAAAGGGGCAAAGCCCAAACCGUCACCGUGUAAAAGCCCGCAGGCGUUGCGGUGGCGGUGUAGCGGGACAGCACCAGAGGGGGCUGCGGACCCCUCAGGGAGUUACAAAACCCCGACCUAGCCGAAGUGGCCUGGAACGGCCCGCCGUAGAGGGUGAGAGCCCCGUAGGCGAAAGGUCAGGGGUCUCCCGGGGUGCUGCUCCCAAGUAGCUCGGGCCCCGUGAAAGCCUGAGCGAAUCUGGGGGGACCACCCUCUAAGGCUAAAUACCCCUGGUGACCGAUAGCGCACCAGUACCGUGAGGGAAAGGUGAAAAGAACGGUGGGAAGCCGAGUGAAAUAGAGCCUGAAACCGCGUGCCUACAAGCAGUCGGAGGGCUAUGCCCCGUGACAAUCACGGGGAAUGCCUGACGGCGUGCCUCUUGAAGAAUGAGCCGGGGAGUUGCCGUCGGUGGCGAGGCUAAGCGCCAUCAGGCGCGGAGCCGUAGGGAAACCGAGUCUGAAUAGGGCGUUAGUCGCCGGCGGCAGACCCGAAACCGAGCGAGCUACCCCUGCCCAGGGUGAAGUGCCCUUAACCGGGCACGGAGGCCCGAACCCGUCGGUGUUGCAAAACCGUGGGAUGAGGUGGGGGUAGCGGUGAAACGCCAAUCGAGCUCGGAGAUAGCUGGUUCUCCCCGAAACACGUGUAGGCGUGACGUCGGGCCAUUAAGCGGCGGAGGUAGAGCCACGGAUGGGGGUAGGGGGUUAACAGCCUACCAAACCCCGUCCAACUCCGAAUGCCGCCGCUGGUCCCUUUAUGGGGCUAAGGCCCGGCAGUCGGACUCCGGGGGAUAAGCUCCGGAGUCGCGAGGGAAACAGCCCAGACCGCCAGCUAAGGCCCCCAAGUCCCGGCUUAGUGGGGAACGCGGUGGGGCUCCUAAGACAGCCGGGAGGUUGGCUUAGAAGCAGCCAUCCUUUAAACAGUGCGUAACAGCUGACCGGCCGAGGAGCCCUGCGCGGAAGAUUCAACGGGGCUAAGCCGGGCGCCGAAGCUGCGGGCUUGGCGGAACUGCCUAUAAGGCAUUCCGUCAGGCGGUAGGGGAGCGUUCCGCCUGCUGUGAAGCCCGACCGAAAGGACGGGUGGAGCGGGCGGAAGUGAGAAUCCCGGCACGAGUAGCGAUAAGGCCGGUGAGAAUCCGGCCCGCCGGAAGCCCAAGGUUUCCGACGCAACGCUCGUCGGCGUCGGGUUAGGCGGUCCUAAGCCGAGGCCGUUCGGCGUAGGCGAUGGGCAGCCGGUUGACAUUCCGGCCCCACCGACCUCCGCCAUCAGGGAUGGGGGACGCUCCCAAGGGAGCCUACGCGGCGAUGGUCGUCCGCGGCGACCGUGGAGUGAGCCAUCCGAAAGGAUGGUUCGCUUGGCGGGAGCGAGCCGCCUUUGUGCGGCGAAGUGGCGCCCCAAGGGAGCCAAGAAAAGCCCUUACCGAGUCCAUCCCCAAAAGGGAUGGCGCGGAGCGUCGGUGACCGUACCGGAAACCGCCACAGGUGGGCGAGGAGAGUAUCCACAGGCGCGCGGGAUAACCCCUGCCAAGGAACUCUGCAAAAUGUCCCCGUAACUUCGGGAGAAGGGGAGCCGUAGUAGGGUGAAAGGGCCUUCGCGCCCAAGUAGCCCGAGGCGGUCGCAGAUAAGCGGCCGGGGGCGACUGUUUAACAAAAACACAGGUUCCUGCCAACCCGAAAGGGGAGGUAUAGGGGCCGACGCCUGGCCAGUGCCCGAAGGUUAAGGGGACGGGUUCGCCGGGCUCUCGCCCGGCAAAGCUCGCGCCCCGAAGCCCGGGUAAACGCCGGCCGUAACCCUGACGGUCCUAAGGUAGCGAAAUUCCUUGUCGGGUAAGUUCCGACCCGCACGAAAGGCGUAACGACUUCGGCGCUGUCUCGGCGGGGGGCCCGGUGAAACUGUGGUGUCCGUGAAGACGCGGACUACCCGCGGCGGGACGGAAAGACCCCGUGGAGCUUUACUGCAGCCUGGCCUUGGGCUUUGGGGCGGGAUGCAGAGAAUAGGUGGGAGCCUGUGAAGCUCGCCCUCCGGGGCGGGUGGAGGCGCCAGUGGAAUACCACCCUUCCCGCUCUUGGGUCCUAACUUGGUCCCGUGAAUCCGGGCCAAGGACAGGGUCAGGUGGGCAGUUUGGCUGGGGCGGCGGCCUCCUAAAAGGUAACGGAGGCGUCCAAAGGUCCCCUCAGGCGGGAUGGAAAUCCGCCGUGGAGUGCAAAGGCAUAAGGGGGCCUGACUGUGAGGCUCACAAGCCGAGCAGCCGCGAAAGCGGGGCUUAGUGACCCGGCGGUUUGGGAGUGGGACCGCCGCCGAUCAACGGAUAAAAGCUACCCCGGGGAUAACAGGCUAAUGGCGCCCGAGCGUCCCCAGCGACGGCGCCGUUUGGCACCUCGAUGUCGGCUCAUCGCAUCCUGGGGCUGAAGCCGGUCCCAAGGGUUGGGCUGUUCGCCCAUUAAAGCGGUACGUGAGCUGGGUUCAGACCGUCGUGAGACAGGUCGGUCCCUAUCCGCCGCGGGCGCAGGAGGCUUGAGGGGGGCUCGCCCUAGUACGAGAGGACCGGGCGGGACCAGCCUCUGGUGUCCCGGCUGUCGCGCCAGCGGCACGCGCCGGGUAGCCAUGCUGGGUCGGGAUAACCGCUGAAAGCAUCUAAGCGGGAAGCCCACCCCAAGAUAAGGCCUCCCACGGGGGCAACCCGGUAAGGGCCCGGGAAGACUACCCGGUUGAUGGGCCGGAGGUGGAAGCCCAGCAAUGGGUGGAGCUGACCGGUCCCAAUAGCCCGAGGGCUUGACUG
rnacentral:rRNA from 1 species